UACGUAGGGUGCAAGCGUUUGUCCGGAAUUAUUGGGCGUAAAGAGCUCGUAGGCGGUUUGUCGCGUCUGCUGUGAAAACCCGAGGCUCAACCUCGGGCCUGCAGUGGGUACGGCGAGACUAGAGUGCGGUAGGGGAGAUUGGAAUUCCUGGUGUAGCGGUGGAAUGCGCAGAUAUCAGGAGGAACACCAAUGGCGAAGGCAGAUCUCUGGGCCGUAACUGACGCUGAGGAGCGAAAGCAUGGGGAGCGAACAGG
rnacentral:rRNA from 1 species